rnacentral:sRNA from 1 species
AGCAGCAGCAGCUUCUGCUGCAGCUGCAGCAGAUGCUGCUGCUGCUGCAGCAGAUGCUGCUGCUGCUGCAGCAGAUGCUGCUGCUGCUGCUGCAGCUGCUGCUGCUGCAGCAGCAGCUGCUGCUGCUGCAGCUGCUGCUGCUGCUGCAGCUGCAAGUGUCGUUUUCGGAGGCUGCUGAGGCGCUGCGCAGCACGGCGCAGCAGCAGCCGCUGCUGCAGCUGCAGCAGCAGCUGCUGCAGCUGCAGCAGCAGCUGCUGCCACUGCAGCAGCAUCUGCUGCU